AAGUCGUAACAAGGUUUCCGUAGGUGAACCUGCGGAAGGAUCAUUACUGAAUGCUCCAGCUUGCUGGACUUUCCUGCCUUGGGUUGCCGCUGAAAAUGCGGUAAUCCUUGGUUACCCACACCUGUGCAUUGCACUUCUCCUUUGGUAGGUUUCGGUUCUCUCUUUCUUUAUGUAAGAGGAUUCCGACUCUGGCUGAUUACCAUUCUGCUGCACUUGCUUGCAAGACAGCGGAAUGGCCAGCUGGCGCGGCCUGCCAGAGGAACCCACAACAUACUGUUCCUGUAGACUGUACCUUAUAUUUUAAAUAUAAACAACUUUUAACAACGGAUCUCUUGGCUCUC
rnacentral:misc_RNA from 1 species